rnacentral:antisense_RNA from 1 species
ACCUGAGAUCUUAUUGGGACGCUGCUGAUAACCAGUUUCAGAGACAGGGUUUCACCAUGUUGUACAGGCUAGUCUCCAACCCCUGGGCUUAAGCAGUCCUUCUGCCUCAGGCUCCCAAAGUGCUGGGAUUACAGAACCAAACUGGGACUAGAACUUACACCAACAGCUCUCCUACCUCUCAGGUCUUUGGACUUAGACUGGAACUGUACCAUCAACUCUCCUGGGUUUACAGCUUUGACUGAAGAUCUUGGGACUUCUCGGCCUCCAUCGUCUUGGCCUGCAGCAACCUCAAUUCUUGCCUUCUCAGAAGAAAGAAUAUGACUGCGGGAGCAUAAGGCAGAAUGAAAGACCAAGAGAUGCUCAAGCACUGAAUUGUCUUAAGAAAACAAGUAAGGUUUUGUCACCUAUCCUAUUUCUCACUGCAAGCUGAAAAAAAUCAAAUCCAAACACCACCACCCCUUCUAUGACAACAAACGGCUGUGGAGGUAAUCUUAUUUUUUUAAGGGUAGUUUCAUGAUGACAGUUUCAAAAAAUUACCGUGGAUAAAGAAAAAAUUGUCUCAAUGAAAUAGAAUUUUUCACUGAACACAGAAACCAUCUCAAUAGUUGCUGCUCCCUGGUUUCUAGGCCAUGCAACAGACAUCAAACUAGGAAGCCAAACUUUCACGGACCUGUGUUAAGAAAAACACACAUAUAUGGGCAUACUACUUUUUUUUUCAGAAAAACAGAAUUAGGCAGAGAAGGAAGUGUGGGUGUAUAACUGAUCCACAAGC